rnacentral:rRNA from 1 species
CGAAUGCUGACAUAAGUAACGAUAAAGCGGGUGAAAAGCCCGCUCGCCGGAAGACCAAGGGUUCCUGUCCAACGUUAAUCGGGGCAGGGUGAGUCGACCCCUAAGGCGAGGCCGAAAGGCGUAGUCGAUGGGAAACAGGUUAAUAUUCCUGUACUUGGUGUUACUGCGAAGGGGGGACGGAGAAGGCUAUGUUGGCCGGGCGACGGUUGUCCCGGUUUAAGCGUGUAGGCUGGUUUUCCAGGCAAAUCCGGAAAAUCAAGGCUGAGGCGUGAUGACGAGGCACUACGGUGCUGAAGCAACAAAUGCCCUGCUUCCAGGAAAAGCCUCUAAGCAUCAGGUAACAUCAAAUCGUACCCCAAACCGACACAGGUGGUCAGGUAGAGAAUACCAAGGCGCUUGAGAGAACUCGGGUGAAGGAACUAGGCAAAAUGGUGCCGUAACUUCGGGAGAAGGCACGCUGAUAUGUAGGUGAGGUCCCUCGCGGAUGGAGCUGAAAUCAGUCGAAGAUACCAGCUGGCUGCAACUGUUUAUUAAAAACACAGCACUGUGCAAACACGAAAGUGGACGUAUACGGUGUGACGCCUGCCCGGUGCCGGAAGGUUAAUUGAUGGGGUUAGCGCAAGCGAAGCUCUUGAUCGAAGCCCCGGUAAACGGCGGCCGUAACUAUAACGGUCCUAAGGUAGCGAAAUUCCUUGUCGGGUAAGUUCCGACCUGCACGAAUGGCGUAAUGAUGGCCAGGCUGUCUCCACCCGAGACUCAGUGAAAUUGAACUCGCUGUGAAGAUGCAGUGUACCCGCGGCAAGACGGAAAGACCCCGUGAACCUUUACUAUAGCUUGACACUGAACAUUGAGCCUUGAUGUGUAGGAUAGGUGGGAGGCUUAGAAGUGUGGACGCCAGUCUGCAUGGAGCCGACCUUGAAAUACCACCCUUUAAUGUUUGAUGUUCUAACGUUGACCCGUAAUCCGGGUUGCGGACAGUGUCUGGUGGGUAGUUUGACUGGGGCGGUCUCCUCCUAAAGAGUAACGGAGGAGCACGAAGGUUGGCUAAUCCUGGUCGGACAUCAGGAGGUUAGUGCAAUGGCAUAAGCCAGCUUGACUGCGAGCGUGACGGCGCGAGCAGGUGCGAAAGCAGGUCAUAGUGAUCCGGUGGUUCUGAAUGGAAGGGCCAUCGCUCAACGGAUAAAAGGUACUCCGGGGAUAACAGGCUGAUACCGCCCAAGAGUUCAUAUCGACGGCGGUGUUUGGCACCUCGAUGUCGGCUCAUCACAUCCUGGGGCUGAAGUAGGUCCCAAGGGUAUGGCUGUUCGCCAUUUAAAGUGGUACGCGAGCUGGGUUUAGAACGUCGUGAGACAGUUCGGUCCCUAUCUGCCGUGGGCGCUGGAGAACUGAGGGGGGCUGCUCCUAGUACGAGAGGACCGGAGUGGACGCAUCACUGGUGUUCGGGUUGUCAUGCCAAUGGCACUGCCCGGUAGCUAAAUGCGGAAGAGAUAAGUGCUGAAAGCAUCUAAGCACGAAACUUGCCCCGAGAUGAGUUCUCCCUGACUCCUUGAGAGUCCUGAAGGAACGUUGAAGACGACGACGUUGAUAGGCCGGGUGUGUAAGCGCAGCGAUGCGUUGAGCUAACCGGUACUAAUGAACCGUGAGGCUUAACCUU